rnacentral:rRNA from 1 species
GAUGAACGCUGGCGGCGUGCUUAACACAUGCAAGUCGAACGGAAAGGCUCCUGCUUGCAGGGGUACUCGAGUGGCGAACGGGUGAGUAACACGUGGGUGAUCUGCCCUGCACUUCGGGAUAAGCCUGGGAAACUGGGUCUAAUACCGGAUAGGACGAUGGUUUGGAUGCCAUUGUGGAAAGUUUUUCGGUGUGGGAUGAGCUCGCGGCCUAUCAGCUUGUUGGUGGGGUAAUGGCCUACCAAGGCGUCGACGGGUAGCCGGCCUGAGAGGGUGUACGGCCACAUUGGGACUGAGAUACGGCCCAGACUCCUACGGGAGGCAGCAGUGGGGAAUAUUGCACAAUGGGCGCAAGCCUGAUGCAGCGACGCAGCGUGGGGGAUGACGGCCUUCGGGUUGUAAACUCCUUUCGCUAGGGACGAAGCGCAAGUGACGGUACCUGGAGAAGAAGCACCGGCUAACUACGUG